AUACGGAGGAUCCGAGCGUUAUCCGGAUUUAUUGGGUUUAAAGGGUGCGCAGGCGGCCAUUUAAGUCAGCGGUUAAAUCGUGGGGCUCAACCCCAUUCUGCCGUUGAUACUGAGUGGCUUGAUUGCGGUCGAGGUUGGCGGAAUUCGUUGUGUAGCGGUGAAAUGCAUAGAUAUGACGAAGAACACCGAUUGCGUAGGCAGCUGACCAGAACGCAAAUGACGCUCAUGCACGAAAGUGCGGGGAUCGAACAGGAUUAGAUACCCUGGUAGUCCGCACAGUAAACGAUGAAUACUUGUUUUCGGCGAUAUAAUGUCGGAGGCAAAGCGAAAGCGAUAAGUAUUCCACCUGGGGAGUUCGCCGGCAACGGUGAAACUCAAAUGAAUUGGCGGGG
rnacentral:rRNA from 1 species